GUUAAAUUCGUGAACAGCCUUUGUUGUUUAUUUUAUUUUAUUUUAUUUUUAUGUCAGCACUUUAUUCCAAAACACUUCCUAGUUGGUGGGAUCCCCAUUGACCAUGGCAAUACAUUUGAUUCUGAUUCUGUCCUCUGUUUUCUUCCCCACCUCUGGCUCUCUGAUCUCCUUCCAUCUCUUCCUCCCCCCUCACCUUGUCACUCUGAUGCUCUGCAUCCUUCCCUUUCCAUCCAUGGAUGUAUUUGCUCCAACACAACAGAUCCUCUCUGAGGACCUCAACCUCUCACACUCUCUUCAGCACCAUCAGCAGAGCGACGAAGAAUAACUGGUCAAACACCGCCCUCGUGUGGUUGGACUUAAACACAACCAGUCAAUGAAAUAACCCACUGUUUGUCCAUGACGUCAUGACGCCUCCUCAUUGGCCAAUGGCUGGCCAACUGGCCCCGCCCCCGAGCGCCAGGUGAACUCGUCCGCUGAUGAGCAGCUUGGUGAACAGGUGGAUGAGGUGAACGACAGGUCAAACGUGUGUGAGCUGGAGGCUGCAGGUCACUGACAUGACGCAACAGUGUCUGCAAGAUGCUUCAGGAACAUUGCUGUGACGUGUGUCGAGUCGCUGUGAUGAAGAGUGGAACCCUGUUUUUCUGAUCCAUGACUGUGGUGUGAUUUCACUGCCGUGUGACUGGGUUCCUCGAGGCUCCUCUCAGAGCUGGAUCAGUGAAGCUGGGCGUCUGCUCCUCCUCUCCAGAUGGUCUGGGUCAACAGUCUGGUUGGGAGCAGGUGGUUUAGAUAGAUGCGUUUGAGCUUGUGCAGCUGGAAUAUUUCACCGAAGCAUCUUCACAUGAGGAGACACCUGGCUCCACCUGAGAUGGUCCCCUCAGUGGAGGAGCAGCCCAACUCUCCUAACCAGACCCUGACCUUCAUGUUGUCACGUCAGAAGCAGGACUGAGAGGCCCAGAGUCCAUGUUGCUGGAGGUCCAGUGUGAAGCCACAGUCAGCAGUGGCUGCCUUGUUGUCUGUUCAGGUCGGGUCACAGUGUUUCCUGAAGUCCACUGUCGGCACAAACAUCUACCAGGAAACUGUUCAGCUUCACGGAGUGGCACCUGCCACACUGCUGAAGGUACAGAAGGCUGCUCAUGUGACCUGAGCUCUUGCUCACCUGUGGCUCAUGGAGAACUGAUGGAGGGUUGUCAAGAGGAACAUGAGGCACCAGAUCCUGUUGUUAAGUCAAAGCCACCUGAGCCAAAGAGGCCCAACCAAGAACUGAGAAACUCAGCACAUCUCUCUCAAAUGUUGUUGUUUGAUGGGAAUUUACAAUUCAAUUUUAGGCUUUUAUGAAGUUGAAAUUGCACCUUAUCAACUGAAACAACU